UACAGAGGUCUCAAGCGUUGUUCGGAUUCAUUGGGCGUAAAGGGUGUGUAGGUGGCGCGCUAAGUCGGGUGUGAAAUUUCGGAGCUUAACUCCGAAACUGCAUUCGAUACUGGCGUGCUUGAGGACUGGAGAGGAGACUGGAAUUUACGGUGUAGCAGUGAAAUGCGUAGAUAUCGUAAGGAAGACCAGUGGCGAAGGCGGGGUCUCUGGACAGUUCCUGACACUGAGACACGAAGGCCAGGGGAGCAAACGGG
rnacentral:rRNA from 1 species